rnacentral:rRNA from 1 species
CGCGUAGGCGGGCUGACAAGUCUGGGGUGAAAUCCCACGGCUCAACCGUGGAACUGCCUUAGAUACUGUCGGCCUCGAGGAAGGUAGGGGCAUGCGGAACUGUAGGUGGAGCGGUGAAAUGCGUUGAUAUCUACAGGAACUCCGGUGGCGAAAGCGGCGUGCUGGACCUUUUCUGACGCUGAGGCGCGAAAGCUAGGGGAGCAAACG